UUUUUUUUUUUUUUUUUGGUUCUUUUUUUUCGGAGCUGGGGACCGAACCCAGGGCCUUGUGCUUCCUAGGUAAGCGCUCUACCACUGAGCUAAAUCCCCAGCCCCCAGCCUGGUCUAUUUCUGAUACUAUUCCCUAAUUAUUACACUCUUCUGGCUUAUACUUAAUGUGUGAUAAACCUAUUUAUGUGAGGCUCUGUUGUUGUUCUGCUUACACUACAACACUUGAUCUCACUGAUGGCAGAGCGCAUUCUGGGUACACACAUGUGACUCUUAUUCUAGAAAUUUACCUUCUUUUCCCGCUCCUCUUCCCUCCAGGCAGUUCGCCGUUUGGUAAAAUGGGGCAGACGGAGGAAAUCAGUCACUUCUCCUUCACCAUUGACUAGGGCACAGAACACAGGGUGGUCUCUGCCAUGGAAAGAAUAGUGCAAUAGUUAGCAAUCUGAACCAUGGAUGUGAAGAAAAUGUCAAAGACCAAGUGAGGGAUGGUGCAAGGCAGGCAGUACCUGGCAGAGGAGAAAGCAAUGCCUAAGACUCGAAUGCCCUUCCCCUGGUUUUCAUCCAUAAAGUCGUCAUCCUCCUCUACCUGCUGAUCUGGUCGGUAGGGCGCCACUCGCAGCCAGUUGUAGAGCUUUCGGCUACAGGCCUAAAGGAAAAACAUAGUAGACACUAUGGUCACCAGGCACGUCAAGGGUUCAAGGGCAUGUCUUAAUGGGAGCAAUGCUCCUAGCUACUUGGCAGGCUUACAAGUAGUUCUAC
rnacentral:lncRNA from 1 species